GACGAACGCUGGCGGCGUGCCUAAUACAUGCAAGUAGAACGCAGUGGCGAACGGGUGAGUAACGCGUAGGUAACUGCCUCAUAGCGGGGGAUAACUAUUGGAAACGAUAGCUAAUACCGCAUACUGUUAAAUGGACCUGCGUUGUCUUUGCUAGUUGGUGAGGUAAAGGCCCAACAAGGCGACGAUACAUAGCCGACCUGAGAGGGUGAUCGGCCAAACUGGGACUGAGAAACGGGCCAGACUGCGACGGGAGGCAGCAGUAGGGAAACUUCGGCAAUGGACGGAAGUCUGGCCGAGGCACGCCGCGUUGUGUAAUGAGGUUUUCGGAUCUGAAAGCUCUGUUGUUAGAGAAGCGGUACCUAACCAGAAAGCGACGGCUAACUACGUGCCAGCAGCCGCGGUAAUUC
rnacentral:rRNA from 1 species